UAAUACGAAGGGUGCAAGCGUUACUCGGAAUUACUGGGCGUAAAGCGUGCGUAGGUGGUUCGUUAAGUCUGAUGUGAAAGCCCUGGGCUCAACCUGGGAAUGGCAUUGGAUACUGGCGGGCUAGAGUGCGGUAGAGGGUAGUGGAAUUCCCGGUGUAGCAGUGAAAUGCGUAGAGAUCGGGAGGAACAUCCGUGGCGAAGGCGACUACCUGGACCAGCACUGACACUGAGGCACGAAAGCGUGGGGAGCAAACAGGAUUAGAUACCCUGGUAGUCCACGCCCUAAACGAUGCGAACUGGAUGUUGGGCUCAACUUGGAGCUCAGUAUCGAAGCUAACGCGUUAAGUUCGCCGCCUGGGGAGUACGGUCGCAAGACUGAAACUCAAAGGAAUUGACGG
rnacentral:rRNA from 1 species